ACCCCCUUUAGUCAAUAUUUGGUAAACAUCAAUGGCCGCAAUUACAGCCAUUAUUCUAUUUGAAUAAGACUAUACCAGCUUUGCUUUGUGACAAAAAAAAAUUUGGGAAAAAUCCAAGAGUUUAAUAAUUUCAGAAAGUCUUUAUUGAAAAAGAGGCAAGAAAGCAAUGAUGAAUGAACAAGACAUUAUUUAAAACUUACUAAUUAUAUAUUCCAAAUAUGUCUAAAAAGCAAACAUGCAUUCUUUGUAAUAGUAUUUUUUUAAAUCAUCACUAUAUGGCUAAUAAAUCCCCAACAUUCCAUGCAUCUUAGUCAAACUGCUUUUACUCAAACUGGGAAUUAUUAUAAUGUUCACAAUUUCAGUGUGUACUUCAUAGUGUAGAAAUAUUAAAAUAUUUAAAAAAAUUUAAAAAAAUAAAGUAAUGCAUUAUAUUUUACAGGGACUUCCAUUGUGAAAAGUAAAACAGUCACAACUGAAAAAAUUAUGUAGGUAGCCAUUGCAUAUAUCAAAUGUAUUUUCUUUUGGUAUUUUUUCUUAAAGUAAAAGUGUGCGUGCGAUAGAACAAAAACAAGAUCCCUUUGCAUUCUCCGAGUGGACUCUUCAGUAGAUAACAUCCGCCUGGCAGAGAACUUUGGCAGUGUUGUCUUUUUCUGAACAACUAGCUUGCCUAAAGCCUUUUACCGCUGUUGGGAAGAAUGUUCUUGUGAGUCAGUAGCUCUUAUGACUCUUAUGUUAUGGAAGCAAUAAUAUGUUUCGGAUACUAACCAGGGUAUUUACCCAAUACCAAACAGUUGGUGUGUAUCCCAUCUGGCUGUGUGCGUGUGAUAGAACAAAAACAAGAUCCCUUUGCAUUCUCCGAGUGGACUCUUCAGUAGAUAACAUCCGCCUGGCAGAGAACGUUGGCAGUGUUGUCUUUUUCUGAACAACUAGCUUGCCUAAAGCCUUUUACCGCUGUUGGGAAGAAUGUUCUUGUGAGUCAGUAGCUCUUAUGACUCUUAUGUUAUGGAAGCAAUAAUAUGUUUCGGAUACUAACCAGAGUAUUUACCCAAUACCAAACAGUUGGUGUGUAUCCCAUCUGGCUGAUAACCCUUCAUCCAGUUCUCCUGGAUAAAUCUGGACUACAGAGGAGAAAAGGAAAAAGUCAAAAUGAGUAUCAGCAUUUACUUAGCUAGUAGUUAGUAGGAGCUGAUUUGCUUGACAAACCAAAAUAAACGACACAAGGAUGAGGAAAAGUACAUUACCUCAUGGUCUCCGUCAACCCAGAAAUAUCCGCUUGGUAUCAUGUCAUAAGCAUAUUUUAACUGAUCGUUGUUCUCAAUAAAAGCUAGUUUUCCACCUUUUUGACGACACAGCUCCUGUAUUAAGAAAGGAAAAGCAUGGAAUUGACGUGUAAGCCUGUCAUUUCUUUUAAUAAAUGGGAAUUUGUUUUUAUGUGUCUUUAAUUGCACUCUUUCUAUGCUCCUAGGUCAGUGUUUCUCAACCAUGCUCCUGGGUGCCCCUCUUGCCCUGCAUGUUUUAGAUCUCUCCCUGCCCUAACAUACCUGAUGUAGCUCAUGAAGGACUACAUGAGCUGAUCAUUUAAAUCAGGUGUGACAGAGCAGAGAGAGAUCUAAAACAUGCAGAGCAGGGGUGUGUCCAAG
ensembl:lncRNA